AAUUCUUGAAGGUAUGUGAAUCAGCAGAAAAUCUUGGUCUGAGUUGAGAUAAAUUGAAAAGCAUCACAACUGAUGGUGUAAGAAAUAUGGUAGAAAGUAAAAUAGCUGCAAGAAUCAGUGAAGAAAUAUUGAAAAUAAAUUUCACUACAUCAUCCAUCAGCAAAAACGUGUAGUAAGAUGCUUCUGUGGGAAAGGAUGGUGUGUACAGUUGUAUCCUGCAUUAAUUACAUCAGGCAUCAUGACCUUACUCAGAGUCAGUUUCAAAAUUUUCUCUCAGGGAUAGAUGCAGAAUAUGGAAAUAUAUUGCACCAUGCAGAAGUCUGGGGGCUUAGCAGAGGCAAAGUCCUCAAAGGUGUUUUCAGUCUUCAUCAUGAAGCUGAUGUCUUUCUCAAGGAGAAAGGGAAAUGUCAAGAAGUACUUUCUCACCCUGGAUGGAUUUUUUAUUUGGCUUUCUUAACUGACAUCACAGAGCAUCAGAACACACUGAACCUAAGGUUGCAAGGAAAAGUAAAGAUUCUACGUUACCUGUAUUCUGAACUGAAAGCUUUAGAAGCAAAACUAAACAUUUUUUGUGAAGCAAGUUAGUGAGAGUAACUUUUCAAACUUCUCAUGCUGCAAUGAACUAAAAUUGAGAAGGAUGGGAAUUUACAAUUCAAUGUUGACACACCAAAGCACUGAACCUGUUGCAGGUGGAAUUACAAAAGAUUCACUGACAUAAGCAUGAAAAAAGACAUAAGAAUGUUUCAGAAUCCAUUUGAAGUAGCACCAGAAGAUGCUUUUUUCAGAUGGAACUAAUGAUUUGGAAACCAGUGAUAAUCUCAAGAGACAUUUACAAAGGAAAUAGUCUGUUAGAUUUCUGUUGUGGUCCACCUGAUAUAUUUGGGUAAUACACAUAUUACCUAACGAAUUUUGCUGCAGGAAUGUUCACAGUCUUUGGCAUCACAUACAUCUGUGAACAAACUUUUUCCAAGAUGAAAAUUGUGAAAUCCAAAUGAAGGUAAAGACUUACAGAUGUAUAUUUACAUGAUAUUUUAAGGGUGUCUGUCACAAACCUUGAGCUGGACAUUAAUGUCUUAGCUAACAAGAAACAGCCACAAAAAUCACACUGACUGGUAAGCAUGUGCAGCUACAUAAAAGGAUUCAACAGUAAAAUAUUGUUCCAAAAUGGAUUGCAUUCAAAUUAACAUUUUACUGACUCUGAAUGUUUACUUUUGACCUAAACUGGUAGGUUAAUAAUUGUGUUACAGUUUGAUUUAAGAUGUGGCUUGCUUAGGCAUGGGG